rnacentral:snRNA from 1 species
GAAUGUAAAGGCGAUCUAUCUGUGAUCUCUAGCACCCCAGUUGAUCACUAGGGUUGAUUCAGUUGAUCUGGCUGGCUAGGUGGGUGUCUCCUUCCUCCCUCUUCACUCCACAUGCAUCCCUCCCAAAGCUGCAUGAUUGGUCAGAGGAUGACCUUCUGAUAAGGGAAGACCACUGAYUGAGGACAGGUCUUCCAUCAAGGGUGUAGGAAUAGCUAUUUCCCUGCUAGAACCUCCAAACAACCUCUCAAGGUCUAAAGGACCUGGCUCAGAAGUACUCAGUGAAUGAUGCAGGCUGGCCUGAGCCU